GGAGGAGUGUCCGAGUGGUCGAAGGAGGCGGUCUUGAAAACCGCUAGACCGAAAGGUCUCGUGGGUUCGAAUCCUACCUCCUCCGCCA
rnacentral:tRNA from 1 species